rnacentral:rRNA from 1 species
GACGAACGCUGGCGGCGUGCUUAAUACAUGCAAGUCAACUUGACUUUAGAUAGCAAUAUCGAAAAGUAGGGUGGCGCACGGGUGCGUAACGCGUAGGUAAUCCGCCCUGAGGUCUGACAUAACCCGUCGAAAGGCGGGCUAACAUCAGAUGAUAUAUAAUCACGACAUCGUGGAAAUAUCAAAUCUUCGGAGCCUUGGGAUGAGCCUGCGUCUGAUUAGGUAGUUGGCGGAGUAAUAGCCCACCAAGCCUACGAUCAGUAGCUGGUCUGAGAGGAUGAUCAGCCACACUGGAACUGAGACACGGUCCAGACUCCUACGGGAGGCAGCAGUAAGGAAUAUUGCUC